AUUUUCCCCAUUUGGCCGAAACAAGGGAGAGGAAAAGGAGGGAAUUUUCUUCAUCUUCAACCUCAAGUCUUAAGAACUCCAUAGCCAAUCCUUCUUCACAACUUCAUCAAAGAUUCGGGUUUCAAGAAGGAAUUGGGGAAAAUCCACCAAAAGCAUCUUUAAGACAAUAUUAACUACUUUGGAGAUGGAGUUCAGCGUUAGUUCUUGCAGUCCGACGAACUCCCCUAGUUCGUCGGAAGGUGUAGGUCGUGGCAUGGACUACGACGUUUUUGUACAGCAGAUGAGUGGCGCCGACCCUUAUGCGCCUGGCUAUGCUCCUACAGCUCCCAAUAGCUCACCGGCAGUAAAUAGUGUUCUUCCUAUUCCUGAGGGUCCUGACGUACAGGCCACUUUUGGUUUUUACCCCAUCGAGGUGCUGGUAGGAAGUAACCCCUAGAGUUUAUAGUUUAUUAUCCUUACCCUUGGGACCCGAGUCCUCCCGAGAGUUGGGAGGAGUGGUCUAUGGUCAUAGUCGCUUCCCGGUUCCUAGACCAUAUCACAUGGUACGAAGGGGAAUGGCAUCUUGUCUGGGGUGAGUUUACGGGUCCGACGUAUCUCCAGAUCGUGUAAGCAGGAUGCACAGAAGGUCUGUAGGGGUUUAUUCCUUUUGUGUAAAUAUAUUUUGUAGCCAGGGGAGUGACUGAUCUUGGUUAGUGGGGACAUGUAGGGCUUUAAACUUAUGUUGGCCGUUAGGCAAAAUUUCCGGUACUUACUUUGUAAAUAUUUAUAUAUAUAUAUAUAUAUCUUGUAUGUUAUUUCAAAA